UCCCAUCCUUCCCUGACCCUGCCAUGGGCACCAGGCUCCUCUGCUAGGCGGCCCUCUGUCUCCUGGGAGCAAACUCACAGAAGCUGGAGUUGCCCAGUCUCCCGGAUAUAAGAUUAUAGAGAAAAGGCAGAGUGUGGCUUUUUGGUGCAAUCCUAUAUCUGGCCAUGCUACCCUUUACUGGUACCAGCAGAUCCUGGGACAGGGCCCAAAGCUUCUGAUUCAGUUUCAGAAUAACGGUGUAGUGGAUGAUUCACAGUUGCCUAAGGAUCGAUUUUCUGCAGAGAGGCUCAAAGGAGUAGACUCCACUCUCAAGAUCCAGCCUGCAAAGCUUGAGGACUCGGCCGUGUAUCUCUGUGCCAGCAG
rnacentral:lncRNA from 1 species